UAUCCAUGUUUGUAAGACUGCUCACAGACUGUUUUACCAGAGAGUUUUCUGGUACUGCAACAUCUACCACUAAUCUCUGUGAUCCCUUUGAAUUGGCAAAAUAAGAAUAGUGCUAUAGAUUUCUUCCAAAUACAGAAAACAUAAGUAUGAAAAUGUUCUUGCUGUUGAUUAUAUUCUUUACCAAUCUGUUUGUAUGGGAUUUUUGGUACUUCACUUGAAAAAUGAGUCCAAGGUACUGUGAUGUGAUUGUUUACUUUGUGUGGCCUUUCUAGCCAUGGUCUUAUAACAUCCACCCUGGUGCUUGGGCAGGACUGUGUGAUAGGGUAAUUGUGGCUCACCAAGAGGAUUGUUUAUUUUGCCUUCAAAGAGAACCAGUUCCAGAGCAAAGAGGAGGAUUCAACUCCCAUCAAGGAAGAACAGCCAAGAGCCGAGCGUAUAUUAUGGACCUGAGAUCCCUGCACUGAGAAGCUCCUAGAAGCAGGAGACUGAGAUAGAGAGAGGAAGCUGUAACCCUGAAGAUGCUUAAAUACAGACCAGAAGAGGAGUUUGGGGCUUGACACCUGACAUCUUAACACCAGUUCCUGUUUCUUGAGGAAGGAAGAGGUAAAAUAAAUCAGCGUUUGCUGUUUCCUUCUCCAUCCCCGGAAGUCCUGAUGAAGACCCUCUCAGGUAAGGAUUGACAGGGAGUGGCUUGGUUUACUAUUCAACUUUGUCCUUCAGUAACUUUGUUUAUGUCCUGCAUGUAAACUGUUGUGCAUUGAGAAGCAUUCUAAUUCUUGUGCAGAAGGACUAGACCUCCUGCAGAAUGACUAUAUUGUGCCUCCCUCGGGCACCCCUGUCUGCGCAGCACCCCCCAACGCCAACUGCCCAACCGCCUCUCUCCUGGCAUUCUGCUUCUAGAAGCAUGUUCUUUUGAUGCAGAGAUGCAGCACACACAGAAUCCCAGCUGGAUUACAGACUUGAACCUGAAGACCUUAUGCAGAAUGACAAUUUAUGAACCACUAAGCUCAGUACUAAAGCAGCUUCAACUUGAACGUGAAUAUGAGCAACUGAUCAUCUGUUCUGCAGUCAGCCCCUGCCCUGAUUCUGACUCAUGAUAUUGACCAAGUGAAGAGUGAUUCAGAGAAAAACAUGGAUAGAGUGUGACCUAAUUUCCAUAAAAACAAACAAAUGAAUGUACUUACAUGUGUCCCGGCAAAAAGAAGUGUGUAAAAGGGUACAUAUGUAUCUUUGGACACUGGACACUUCAGGGGAGCAGGUAUAAUAUACUUAUGUGGGGAUGGCUCUUAUUAUAACUUCUAUAUACAAAUCUCUAUUGUUAAAUGUGUUAUAAGAAUGUAAAAGCUUUUAAAGUUUAAUAACAUCAUACGUGUAUGUGUGUGUAUUUGAAACUUUUUUUCUUUUGACUAUUUUAUAUAUGUGUUUUUUAGUUAUCUAGUUUUUUUUUUAGUGUGGCUAUAGCAGAGAUACCAAAAGUGGAUGGCUUUAACAAACAGAAACUUAUUCUCUCACAGUUUAAGAAGCAACAAGUUUGAAGUCAGGGCACCAGGUCUAGGAGAAAGCUCUCUCUCUUUGUGGCUCUGGGGGAAGGUCCUUGUCAUCUAUCUUCCCCUGGCCUAGGAAAUUCUCAGCGCGUGGACACUGGGUCAAAAAGACGUGCUCCACUCCAGGCACUUCUUCCUUGGUGGUAUGAGGUCCCUCUCAUUUCCGCUCACUCUUCUCUUUGUAUCUCAAAAGAGACUGACUCAAGACUCACCCUAAUCCUGUAGAUUGUGUCCUCCCUCAUUAACCUAACUGCCUCUAAUCCCGCCUUAUUUACAUCACAGAGGUUAGAAUUUACAACACAUAAGUAAUCACAUCAGAUCACAAAAUGCAGGACAACCACACAAUACUGGGAAUCAUGGUCUGGCCAGGUUGGCACACAUUUUGGGGGACACUAUUCAAUCCAUAACAACAGAGAAAACACUGUCUUCAAUGCCAGAUUCAGAGACUUUUAUCAAUCUAUGAAGGGCAAACACAGAAAUUGAACAAAAUUCAGACCAGCGAAUUAUUGCUUGCUCUUGUAACUAAUGACUUCUUCUGGUCUCUGUACCUGGAAAUGGCCAAAAAGAAUUCUGUGAGGAUUAAUUCAGUUAUUGCUAAAACAUCUACUGCAUUUACAUGUCUACAGAUAAGGAAUAAUGCUGGACACCAUGUGUGAUUCAUUAAGUAACACAGGGACUAUUAGACUGUUGUUCUCCUUCUCUGAUAUGCCACUAUCACCUUCUCCCCUUGUUGCUCUCCUGAAAAACCCACACUUGUAUAUUCUAGGCUUUUUUCCAGGAUUGAAUUUGCAGGAAGUUGAAGAUACAUCUUUGAAAGAUAAAGAAGACUUUGGCCACAUUGUCUUUAGACAGUCGAACUUCCCAGCCAGCCUCUGUGCAGGAUGGGAAUUCACAAUCCCUCCUACUCAGUACCUCUGAGCAGGACGGGAUUUCUGUUUCAUUAUCAGGAGACUGUGGAAUUCACCCCUCUUCAGAAAACUUACUUUCCUUUGCCUCAAACUGUCCCUCUCAGGAUCUGUCACGGUCACUCUGAGAAAUUCACAUGGGCAGCCUGUAUGGAAGUGCCCAUCCUAGAGUCCCUGCCCUCCCUUCCUUGCUCCGUAGGGCUUCCUCCGACACUUGGGGUCACAUCUCCCAGGGAGUACACACCUCUGGCACUUCCAGGGAUUCCCAGGCCCUGGGAUACUGUGGAUGGGACUUGGAACUCAAUCUGUUUCUUCCCAUCCUCACCUUUGGUUAUCUGUGUUCUGUCUUCACCAGAUUUAGGAGGCCUUGUCUUCUCUUUGCUCAUUUCAUUUCAGUCAGGCUUUUCUAUUCCAACUCUCUGAUCUCAGGACACAUCAGGUUAGACCACAGAAAAGAGAAAGACCAAGCAAACAUCACUGAUCUGUGCAGAAGCUGCUGGGAAGGGAUUCGAUUCUCAUUGGUUUAGGGUUUUAAGCCCACUGCUCACCGGCAGGCAGGUUCCCCCCAGAGUCUGGCUUCUGUCUGGUACCUUGUACUACAAAGAACUCAGUGACCAGCCCACCUUCAC